AUUGAACGCUGGCGGCAGGCCUAACACAUGCAAGUCGAACGAGUGGCGGACGGGUGAGUAAUGUCUGGGAAACUGCCCGAUGGAGGGGGAUAACUACUGGAAACGGUAGCUAAUACCGCAUACCAUCGGAUGUGCCCAGAUGGGAUUAGCUAGUAGGUGGGGUAAUGGCUCACCUAGGCGACGAUCUCUAGCUGGUCUGAGAGGAUGAUCAGCCACACUGGAACUUAGACACGGCCCAUACUCCGACGGGAGGCAGCAGUGGGGAAUAUUGCACAAUGGGCGAAAGCCUGAUGCAGCCAUGCCGCGUGUAUGAAGAAGGCCUUAGGGUUGUAAAGUACUUUCAGCGAGGAGGCGUUACUCGCAGAAGAAGCACCGGCUAACUCCGUGCCAGCAGCCGCGGUAAUUC
rnacentral:rRNA from 1 species